CUUUCUACACAGGUUGGGAUCGGUUUGCAUGCUGUGUUUCUGUA
rnacentral:misc_RNA from 1 species